GGGGCGGCGAGGGCGGUGGGGCAACAGCUAUAUAAAGGAGGUGCAUCUAGCAGAGCGGCAGUCAUUCUUGCAUUGGUCAGCACGAAGUUAACAUACAGAGGACAUCAAAAUGGUCUCCCUCAAGGCUGUAAUCACGGUGCUGAUGGUAGUGGUGGCGGCGGUGAUGACGGCGGUGUCUGCUUUCCCUGACGGCUACAAACAAGAGAAGCUGGGCCGCGUCAAGAUCCAGGUGUACCGCGGCCCCAGCAAGAGCAAGGGCUACCAUUCGUUUGCUCCCUGGGGCUACUACUUCACCCAGCCCGAGGACUACAAAAAGGGCUACCACUGACCACUGACGAUCAGCAUCAUCAUCAGCACGUCUUUCCUUAUCGUCUCGUAGCAGUCCACCGCCCUCCCCUCCCCGUGGCUGGGGCCUGGCGCCUCUGCACCCACACCCAGACUUUCCUUACCCGCUGAUCGGCUCACAGCUCCUUCAGUACAAACAAAUCUAAUAGUACAGUUUGUUCCACUCAUCAUAUACCUAUUUAUUCAUAGGAGAAAAUUUACUUUAGUUUGUAAGUUUUGUAAUAAAGUUGUUUUUAUCU